rnacentral:rRNA from 1 species
GACGUAGGUGGCGAACGUUAUCCGGAAUUAUUGGGCGUAAAGGGUGCGUAGAUGGCCUGAUAAGUUAACAGUGGUAAAUCGAGGCUCAACCCCGUGGAAACUGAUAGUACUGUCUGGCUCGAGUACAGAAGAGGUUAACGGAAUUCCAUGUGGAGCGGUAAAAUGCAUAGAUAUAUGGAGGAAUACCGGUGGCGAAGGCGGCAUCCUGGACCGACAUUGACGCUGAACGGCGAAAGCUAGGGGAGCAAACGGG